rnacentral:rRNA from 1 species
CCUACGGGAGGCUGCAGUGAGGAAUAUUGGUCAAUGGGCGAGAGCCUGAACCAGCCAAGUCGCGUGAAGGAUGACGGCCCUACGGGUUGUAAACUUCUUUUGUCAGGGAGCAAUUGAGUCCACGUGUGGGCUUAGCGAGAGUACCUGAAGAAAAAGCAUCGGUUAACUCCGUGCCAACAGCCGCGGUAAUACGGAGGAUGCAAGCGUUAUCCGGAUUUACUGGGUGUAAAGGGAGCGUAGACGGCAGCGCAAGUCUGAAGGGAAAUGCCGGGGGUUAACCCCGGAACUGCUUUUGAAACUGGGCGGCUAGAGUGCAGGAGAGGUAAGUGGAAUUCCUAGUGUAGCGGUGAAAUGCGUAGAUAUUAGGCGGAACACCAGUGGCGAAGGCGGCUUACUGGACUGUAACUGACGUUGAGGCUCGAAAGCGUGGGGAGCGAACAGGAUUAGAUACCCGGGUAGUC